rnacentral:rRNA from 1 species
AGGACGAACGCUGGCGGCGUGCCUAACACAUGCAAGUCGAGCGAGGAGAUCCUCGGGAUGAUCCUAGCGGCGGACGGGUGAGUAACACGUGGGCAACCUGCCUCAUAGAGAGGAAUAGCCUUCCGAAGGGGAGAUUAAUACCUCAUAACAUUGCAGUUUCGCAUGAAACAGCAAUUAAAGGAGCAAUCCGCUAUGAGAUGGGCCCGCGGCGCAUUAGCUAGUUGGUGAGGUAACGGCUCACCAAGGCGACGAUGCGUAGCCGACCUGAGAGGGUGAUCGGCCACAUUGGGACUGAGACACGGCCCAGACUCCUACGGGAGGCAGCAGUGGGGAAUAUUGCACAAUGGGGGAAACCCUGAUGCAAGCAACGCCGCGUGAGUGAUGACGGCCUUCGGGUUGUAAAGCUCUGUCUUCAGGGACGAUAAUGACGGUACCUGAGGAGGAAGCCACGGCUAACUACGUGCCAGCCGCUGC